AUUGAACGCUGGCGGCAGGCCUAACACAUGCAAGUCGAACGAGUGGCGGACGGGUGAGUAAUGUCUGGGAAACUGCCCGAUGGAGGGGGAUAACUACUGGAAACGGUAGCUAAUACCGCAUACCAUCGGAUGUGCCCAGAUGGGAUUAGCUGGUAGGUGGGGUAACGGCUCACCUAGGCGACGAUCACUAGCUGGUCUGAGAGGAUGACCAGCCACACUGGAAUGGGGACCGGGUCCAGACUCCUACGGGAGGCGGCAGUGGGGAGUAUGGCAAAAUGGGCGCAGGCCUGAUGCAGCCAUGCCGCGGGUAUGAGGAGGGCUUUAGGGUUGUAAAGUACGUUCAGCGAGGAGGCGUUACUCGCAGAAGAAGCACCGGCUAACUCCGUGCCAGCAGCCGCGGUAAUUC
rnacentral:rRNA from 1 species